rnacentral:rRNA from 1 species
GAGCGAACGGGGAGGAGCCCAGAGCCUGAAUCAGUGUGUGUGUUAGUGGAAGCGUCUGGAAAGGCGCGCGAUACAGGGUGACAGCCCCGUACACAAAAAUGCACAUGCUGUGAGCUCGAUGAGUAGGGCGGGACACGUGGUAUCCUGUCUGAAUAUGGGGGGACCAUCCUCCAAGGCUAAAUACUCCUGACUGACCGAUAGUGAACCAGUACCGUGAGGGAAAGGCGAAAAGAACCCCGGCGAGGGGAGUGAAAAAGAACCUGAAACCGUGUACGUACAAGCAGUGGGAGCACGCUUAGGCGUGUGACUGCGUACCUUUUGUAUAAUGGGUCAGCGACUUAUAUUCUGUAGCAAGGUUAACCGAAUAGGGGAGCCGAAGGGAAACCGAGUCUUAACUGGGCGUUAAGUUGCAGGGUAUAGACCCGAAACCCGGUGAUCUAGCCAUGGGCAGGUUGAAGGUUGGGUAACACUAACUGGAGGACCGAACCGACUAAUGUUGAAAAAUUAGCGGAUGACUUGUGGCUGGGGGUGAAAGGCCAAUCAAACCGGGAGAUAGCUGGUUCUCCCCGAAAGCU